GACGAACCGUCCAAACGUUGUUCGGAAUCACUGGGCUUAAAGGGCGCGUAGGCGGGUCAGUGGGUCCGGGGUGAAAUCUUUCGGCUUAACCGGAAAAGUGCCUUGGAUACCGCUGGUCUAGAGGGAGGUAGGGGCAUGUGGAACUUCUGGUGGAGCGGUGAAAUGCGUUGAUAUCAGAAGGAACGCCGGUGGCGAAAGCGACGUGCUGGAUCUCUUCUGACGCUGAGGCGCGAAAGCCAGGGGAGCAAACGGG
rnacentral:rRNA from 1 species